rnacentral:rRNA from 1 species
AUUGAACGCUGGCGGCAGGCCUAACACAUGCAAGUCGAGCGGAUGAGGGUAGCUUGCUACCUGAUUCAGCGGCGGACGGGUGAGUAAUGCCUAGGAAUCUGCCCGAUAGUGGGGGACAACGUUUCGAAAGGAACGCUAAUACCGCAUACGUCCUACGGGAGAAAGUGGGGGAUCUUCGGACCCCACGCUAUCGGAUGAGCCUAGGUCGGAUUAGCUAGUUGGUGAGGUAAUGGCUCACCAAGGCUACGAUCCGUAACUGGUCUGAGAGGAUGAUCAGUCACACUGGAACUGAGACACGGUCCAGACUCCUACGGGAGGCAGCAGUGGGGAAUAUUGGACAAUGGGCGAAAGCCUGAUCCAGCCAUGCCGCGUGUGUGAAGAAGGUCUUCGGAUUGUAAAGCACUUUAAGUUGGGAGGAAGGGCUGUAGGCUAAUAUCCUGCAGUUUUGACGUUACCAACAGAAUAAGCACCGGCUAACUUCGUGCCAGCAGCCGCCGUAAUAC